AACGACGGUCGUUCUGUCGCUGCCCGAAAGGGGAGAGGAAAGUCCGGGCAAUAUAGAGCACCAUACUUCUUAACAGGAAGGAGCUGAAUAAGCUACAGAUAGUGCCGCAGAAAAUAACCGCUCCAUUCGUGGAGUAAGGGUGAAAAUGUGAGGUAAGAGCUCACAACGUUGAUAGUGAUACUCAACGGGGGUAAACCUUAUGGAUUGAAAGACCAAAUAUACCGGGGUUUGAGGGUUGCUCGCCCAACUCGGAGGGUAGGUUGAUUGAGCUUUCGGGUGACUGAAGGCCUAGAUAAAUGACAGAAGACUACAGAACCCGGCUUAUAGAUCGUCGUUUUAU
rnacentral:RNase_P_RNA from 1 species